CACGUGGGUAAUCUACCUAGGAGCGGGGGAUAACCUGGGGAAACUCGGGCUAAUACCGCGUACGUUGAUGGGGUUUCGGUCCUGUCAAGAAAGCUGGCCUCUAUUUAUAAGCUAGCGCUCUUAGAGGAGCCCGCGGCUGAUUAGCUAGUUGGUGAGGUAAUGGCUCACCAAGGCGACGAUCAGUAGCCGGCCUGAGAGGGUGAUCGGCCACACUGGGACUGAGACACGGCCCAGACUCCUACGGGAGGCAGCAGUGGGGAAUAUUGGACAAUGGGCGCAAGCCUGAUCCAGCAACGCCGC
rnacentral:rRNA from 1 species